UACGUAGGGGGCUAGCGUUGUCCGGAUUUAUUGGGCGUAAAGAGCGUGUAGGCGGCCAGAUAGGUCUGCUGUGAAAACUCGAGGCUCAACCUCGAGAUGUCGGCGGAAACCAUUUGGCUAGAGUCCGGAAGAGGAAAGUGGAAUUCCUGGUGUAGCGGUGAAAUGCGCAGAUAUCAGGAAGAACACCCGUGGCGAAGGCGGCUUUCUGGGACGGUACUGACGCUGAGGCACGAAAGCGUGGGGAGCAAACAGGAC
rnacentral:rRNA from 1 species